rnacentral:rRNA from 1 species
AGGACGAACGCUGGCGGCGUGCUUAACACAUGCAAGUCGAACGGGGUAUCAGGGUAGCAAUACCCGAAGUACCUAGUGGCGAACGGGUGCGUAACACGUGAGCAACCUACCCCAGAGCUUGGAAUAACACCGGGAAACCGGUGCUAAUACCGAAUACUCUCAUCGAGCCGCAUGACGCGAUGAGGAAAUGCCUGUGUCUAAUACAUGCAGACGCUUCGGGAGGGGCUCGCGGCCUAUCAGCUAGUUGGUGAGGUAACGGCUCACCAAGGCUUCGACGGGUAGCUGGUCUGAGAGGACGAUCAGCCACACUGGCACUGAGACACGGGCCAGACUCCUACGGGAGGCAGC